UACGUAGGGGGCGAGCGUUGUCCGGAAUUAUUGGGCGUAAAGAGCGUGUAGGCGGUUCGGUAAGUCUGCCGUGAAAACCUGGGGCUCAACCCCGGGCGUGCGGUGGAUACUGCCGGGCUAGAGGGUGGUAGAGGCGAGUGGAAUUCCCGGUGUAGCGGUGAAAUGCGCAGAUAUCAGGAGGAACACCGGUGGCGAAGGCGGGUCUCUGGGCUGACACUGACGCUCGAUGCACGAAAGCGUGGGGAGCAAACAGG
rnacentral:rRNA from 1 species